rnacentral:rRNA from 1 species
AACUGGAGAGUGGCGCACGGGUGAGUAACGCGUGGGGACCUACCUCUUAGUGGGGGAUAACGGUUGGAAACGACCGCUAAUACCGCAUACGCCCUUCGGGGGAAAGAUUUAUCGCUAAGAGAUGGACCCGCGUUGGAUUAGAUAGUUGGUGAGGUAACGGCUCACCAAGUCAGCGAUCCAUAGCUGGUUUGAGAGGAUGAUCAGCCACACUGGGACUGAGACACGGCCCAGACUCCUACGGGAGGCAGCAGUGGGGAAUAUUGGACAAUGGGCGCAAGCCUGAUCCAGCCAUGCCGCGUGAGUGAAGAAGGCCUUCGGGUUGUAAAGCUCUUUCAGAUGCGAAGAUGAUGACGGUAACAUC